UACAGAGGUCCCAAGCGUUGUUCGGAUUCACUGGGCGUAAAGGGUGCGUAGGUGGUGAGGUAAGUUUGAUGUGAAAUCUCCGGGCUCAACCCGGAAAUGGCAUUGAAUACUAUCUUGCUAGAGGAGUGGAGGGGGGACUGGAAGUACUUGGUGUAGCAGUGAAAUGCGUAGAUAUCAAGUGGAACACCAGUGGCGAAGGCGAGUCCCUGGACACUUCCUGACACUGAGGCACGAAAGCUAGGGGAGCAAACAGG
rnacentral:rRNA from 1 species